GACGAACGCUGGCGGCGUGCCUAACACAUGCAAGUCGAACGGACGAGGAGGAGCUUGCUUCUCCAAGUCAGUGGCGGACGGGUGAGUAACGCGUGAGUAACCUGCCCUUCAGAGGGGGAUAACGUCUGGAAACGGACGCUAAUACCGCAUGACAUAUUUCCAUCGCAUGGUGGAGAUAUCAAAGGAGCAAUCCGCUGAAGGAUGGACUCGCGUCCGAUUAGAUAGUUGGCGGGGUAACGGCCCACCAAGUCGACGAUCGGUAGCCGGACUGAGAGGUUGAACGGCCACAUUGGGACUGAGACACGGCCCAGACUCCUACGGGAGGCAGCAGUGGGGGAUAUUGCACAAUGGGCGAAAGCCUGAUGCAGCAACGCCGCGUGAGGGAAGACGGUUUUCGGAUUGUAAACCUCUGUUCUAAGUGACGAACAAAUGACGGUAGCUUAGGAGAAAGCCCCGGCUAACUACGUGCCAGCAGCCGCGGUAAUACGUAGGGGGCAAGCGUUGUCCGGAAUUACUGGGUGUAAAGGGAGCGCAGGCGGAGAAGCAAGUCAGUGGUGAAAACGAUGGGCUUAACUCAUCGACUGCCAUUGAAACUGUUUCCCUUGAGUGAAGUAGAGGCAGGCGGAAUUCCGAGUGUAGCGGUGAAAUGCGUAGAUAUUCGGAGGAACACCAGUGGCGAAGGCGGCCUGCUGGGCUUU
rnacentral:rRNA from 1 species